AUGGCCCUGCCUGAGCAGUGGAGUUGGAGAAGGUGGCCUUCAGAGGUCCCUUCCAACCUAAACCUUUCUGUGUAGAAAUAGGAGAAGAGCCAGUGCUGGGAGGGAGGUGGUAGCAUGGUGACAUGGCUGCCUGCCAGCUCUCCCUGUGUCACAGGCAGAGUAGCCUCCAGUGGGGAAGUUUAACUUAAUACCAGUAAGCAGAAACUUCCAGUUACUGAUUUGAGUAUUGAGAAAACACAUGAACACGAUUAAACAUCGCCUUUCCACUCCCCAGUCUCUACUUCCUGCCUCUUCACUGUGGGUGCAAAUAGCUCCUCCCUUGAGGCAGUGGGCAGUGUGGGACUGUGGGCAGGGUGUGUGGCAUGGUCAGGUCACCUACGUGCCUCGGGGGGGUUUUCUCCUGACCGUCUUGGAGCCCUGCUGCAGUGGGGUUGGUGCAGCCUGAGCUCCUGUUGCUACCUGAAGUAGUUAGCUGACUCAAGGUCUGGAUGGAGCACAUGGAGCAUCGCUUGAACUGCCAUGUUUGGAAGUGAGCAGCAUGGUAAGUGUGUUCUGCCAUGAGACCUGCUGAGGGCCGAUGUGUCACUGAACAAUGAGAAGCUGAUUGUCCUCAGGCCACACAAAGACAACUGUACUGCAGGGAGCUUGAGACAGUGUCAUUUGUAGCCUGAUGGUUCAAACAGAAAGGGAACGUUAAAUCAUGAGGCUUUAUCUCAAGUCUGAUGCUUAUUGGAAAGCUAAGGCUGCAAAUAUUAAGGUUUGUCUGUGGUGAAUGUGGUUGCUUGAUCGAGGAGGUAGGAUGGACCACAUUACAUCUGCCUAGAUCAUGUAUUUUGUGGGCUUUAAAAUGAAGUGGUAGGUAAGUGACAAUGACAAGGAUGGGGAAGAAACCAUUAACAGUGCAACUUAAUAUCCAAACUAUGAGAGGGCUUCUGCAGCAUUAGGUAGCCACCCCAUAUCUGUUAUCAACCAGCCUGGCUCUGCUGAAUGUGCAGGUGCCAAGGUCUGGCCUGCGGCCAGGGCUACUGCAGUGGAAGGAGGCUGGGCAGCAGGCUUCAUGGGAAUCCCAGCGUGCUGCUGCGAGCUCUUCGUGACAACUUGGUUUUAACUCAAAUGGAAUAGCUGAUUUAAAAAAAAAAAAAAGUGUCUAAGUGUCUCCAUGCUACGGAGUAUUAUUAGGGAUGCACUGUAUCUGAAGAGCUGUGAAGAAUUAGUAAAGGUAAAAUCAAAGGUGAAUCGAAAGGGAGUUUAUAUACUGCUUAACCGAAGUUGACUUUAGGGUAAAAUAAAACCCUGAAGGGAUAUCA
rnacentral:lncRNA from 1 species